rnacentral:rRNA from 1 species
ACUGAGCGGCGGACGGGUGAGUAACGCGUGGGUAACCUGCCUCAUACAGGGGGAUAACAGUUAGAAAUGACUGCUAAUACCGCAUAAGACCACAGGGCCGCAUGGCCCGGUGGUAAAAACUCCGGUGGUAUGAGAUGGACCCGCGUCUGAUUAGCUGGUUGGUGGGGUAACGGCCUACCAAGGCGACGAUCAGUAGCCGACCUGAGAGGGUGACCGGCCACAUUGGGACUGAGACACGGCCCAAACUCCUACGGGAGGCAGCAG